CUUUCUGAAAGGUCAGAUUCAGAGCCAAUAGGAGAAUCUUCACCUGAAUACCAGGAAGUCUUAUUGUAUGAAUACUGACUUAUCUUUAUUUUAAGGGAUUGCAGAGUCCUUCAUUACAGUACACACACUCAGUGUCAUAAUGCACACUUUAAAAGACAUCAUCAGCACAGGACGGAAUGUUAGUAAGUGGUGUGUGGCCAUUCCAUCUCUUUCACAGUUCCUUUAUGUAUCUCGUUAUGACUGUCACAUGUAUGUUAAGACUAUGGCUGUUAAA